rnacentral:rRNA from 1 species
UACUUAGUGGCAGACGGGUGAGUAACAUGUGGGUAUCUACCCUUUGGCCUGGAAUAACACGAGGAAACUUGUGCUAAUACCGGAUAAGUCUUUACGGAGAAAGCUUUAUGCACCAUUGGAUGAGCCCGCACUUGAUUAGUUUGUUGGUAGGGUAAUGGCCUACCAAGACUAUGAUCAAUAGCUGAUUUGAGAGGAUGAUCAGCCACAUUGGGACUGAGACACGGCCCAAACUCCUACGGGAGGCAGCAGUGGGGAAUCUUGCACAAUGGAGGAAACUCUGAUGCAGCGAUGCCGCGUGAGUGAAGAAGGCCCUUGGGUUGUAAAGCUCUUUCGUCGGGGAAGAAAAUGACUGUACCCGAAUAAGAAGGUCCGGCUAACUUCGUGCCAGCAGCCGCGGUAAUACGAAGGGACCUAGCGUAGUUCGGAAUUACUGGGCUUAAAGAGUUCGUAGGUGGUUGAAAAAGUUGGUGGUGAAAUCCCAGAGCUUAACUCUGGAACUGCCAUCAAAACUUUUCAGCUAGAGUAUGAUAGAGGAAAGCAGAAUUUCUAGUGUAGAGGUG